UACAGGGGGGGCAAGCGUUGUUCGGAAUUACUGGGCGUAAAGGGCUCGUAGGUGGCCAACUAAGUCAGACGUGAAAUCCCUCAGCUUAACUGGGGAACUGCGUCUGAUACUGGAUGGCUUGAGUUUGGGAGAGGGAUGCGGAAUUCCAGGUGUAGCGGUGAAAUGCGUAGAUAUCGGGAGGAACACCAGUGGCGAAGGCGGCUACCUGGCACAUAACUGACGCUGAUACGCGAAAGCGUGGGGAGCGAACCGG
rnacentral:rRNA from 1 species